GCGUGAGUGAUGAAGGCCCUAGGGUUGUAAAACUCUUUCGGCGGGGACGAUAAUGACGGUACCCGUAGAAGAAGCUCCGGCUAACUUCGUGCCAGCAGCCGCGGUAAUACGAAGGGGGCUAGCGUUGUUCGGAAUUACUGGGCGUAAAGCGUGCGCAGGCGGUUUUCCAAGUCAGUGGUGAAAGCCCGGAGCUCAACUCCGGAACUGCCAUUGAAACUGUUGAACUUGAGUACGAGAGAGGUGAGUGGAAUUCCCAGUGUAGAGGUGAAAUUCGU
rnacentral:rRNA from 1 species